UACGGAGGGAGCUAGCGUUGUUCGGAAUUACUGGGCGUAAAGCGUGCACAGGCGGUUUUGUAAGUCUGACGUGAAAUCCCCGGGCUCAACCUGGGAAUUGCGUUGGAGACUGCAAGGCUGGAGUCUGGCAGAGGGGGGUAGAAUUCCACGUGUGAGCAGUGAAAUGCGCAGAUAUCAGGAGGAACACCAAUGGCGAAGGCAGCACUCUGGGACGUGACUGGACGCUGAGACGCGAAAGCGUGGGGAGCAAACAGG
rnacentral:rRNA from 1 species